CAUAUAUAUAUAUAUAUAUAUAUAUAUAUAUAUAUAUAUAUAUAUAUAUACACACACACACACACACACAACAAGGGUCUUAAAAAAUUCAAAUGUGCUUUUAUGCUCGAAUAUCGAAGAUAAUUUUUUCUUUUAUAAAUUUAAAAAUAAAAUUCGAAUACCCAGUUGACUAGAACUUCUACAUGUUCUAAUAAUUCCAGUAAUUCUAAAUAACACUAAUAGUGAUUUUACUAGAUAAUAGAUGUUACGUUAAUUGAUAUCAUCAAAAUUAUAGUAUCGUCAUAAAUAUAUCAACAAUUGCAUUGUCGCUGUAAAUUUGUUUAAAUUUAUAUAUCUUAGCAAUGUUAAGUAAAACAACAAAAGCCUUAUAAAGAGGCAGGUGAAAAGAAUGAAACGUCAUUUUAAAAUAUUUUAUUCGUACAUAUUCCGAAAGACCUUUUUAUUCUGAAUAAGUUUAGCUGACAACAUUUAUCAGAAUAAAGCGCACAUCAAAAGUUACAGAAAUACAGAAUUUCGCACACGCAUUUCCAUUUAAAAUACACAUUUGUUACGAGAUAUUAUUGUUUGUUGAUAUUAUUUGUACCUCUCAAAAUCAUUUCGUCAAACACGAUAACAGAAUAUAAACGAUCAAAUAUAAGGUCAUUUCGAGCAGACAUACGAUUCGUGACGGUAUGGAGCAAAAUAUUCAACAAACGCGCAAAUAAAAAUAAUUUCAAUAAUAUUUAUUAAAAGAGAAAUAUAAUCGACGUCUUCAUUGGAAUUUAUUUAGUUAUUGGAUUGAAGUAAAAUUGUCGUAUAGAUUACUACACUCGCUUGAUGUGUGCAUUAUUUCGAAUAAUAAUAAAAAGAAUAAUAAUAAUUCAAGACGUAACCAUUUAUAAUAAAAAUGGACUUUCGGAAUGUGUACGAAUUAAUCUAUCAUUCAAUUUAAUAUUAGUAAAUAGUAUCUCGUUUCUCUCAUUUUAGAAGACAUUUGGAAUUUUGUUAGAUAUUGAUAAAAUAAAUGUGAAAUCAAAUUAUACUAAUGUAGCGAAUCGAUAUAUGAAUAAUUAUUUGUUAAAGAGAGUUAGCGAGUCAGUCAUAUAACAGUAUAACAUCAAUUGGAGUUUUGUUUAUCGUGAAAUUUGAAAUUUUUAAAAUGAUAUAAAAGAAAUUAAUGUACAAAUAUCAUAAUAUGCAAAUAUCAUAUCUAAUGCUAUGUUGUAAGAGAGAUCUUUACAAGAGAGAUGGUUUAUCGAGAAAUUUAUAUUAAUUGGAAUGUUAGAACACUGGAAUACUUGGCCGUAAAGGUAGACGAAUCCACGUAAAGGUAGACGAAUCGACAUAUGGUUGCUGCAUUCAUUUCUAGCUCGGAAUGCUUACAAUGCUCUUUUUGUGGGACAAAAUUAUGAAGUUCGAUAUACCGUUUUGAGUAAACGUUUAUUUACUCAAAGUUGAUUGUUUCAUUUUGACUCAAAAUAAUUAUUUACUCAAAACACAAGGUAAUCGUUAAAAUGUUAUAUUAUUUAAACAACUUGGAGUAUAGAAUAACACUAUCAUUUACAAUUAUUAUGCACAGACACAGUCAUUUUGCUUUGAUUCUUAUUAAUUUUAUAAAAUGAAAAAGUCUAGGCAACGUUUUUUUCUUCAUUUCGUGUUCUGUGCAAUCUACCUAUUUUAUAUACAAUCUAAAAAUACACGAUGCUACAUUUAACUUCUUGAAUUUAAAGUUGCAAUUCUGUAUAGUUAAAAGAACACAUAUUACUUGAAUUAUUGUGGAUUAUUUUUCAAUUUGUUUUGUGACAAAAAUGAUUAUAGUAUAAUCGACAAAUUAUGGAUCACAGAGUAGAAACACCUGCAACUCUGAAUAUAUAAUGUCCGAAGCUAAAUGCAAUUGUUAAGUGAAGUUAUACAUUUUAUGUAAUACAAAGUCUCCUCUGUAUAAGCAAAUGUGAUUCUGUGUUUCUUCUAAUAUAAAGAAUCCUAUGCUAGGCCUUGCAUUCUAUUGUUGAUGAUGUAUUGCAUGGCCCUUAUGUUGCUUCUUCAAUUUAAAAACAAGAUAUAAUUCGUUUUCAACAAUUAAAUUUUCAUUUAAAAGCUUGAUAGAUUCUCCAUGCACUAAUGCUAAUGGCUGUCAGCGUAACAGUCGCAUGAAGAAUUCGUCUCCUCGUAUCAUCCUUUCUUACAAGAAACGUUGGCGACGAUGGACCUAAGAUAGCUAACACUUCUACAUGUGGUAGCUUACUUGUGUCAGUUUCUACUUGGUAUUGACAGCAUGGAUCAAACUGCCAUGACAAAGUGUAAAGUCCACAAGUUAUAAGUGAUACAAAACCUAAUGUGCCACAAAUAUAAGGUCGAUCGCCCCAUAUAAGACCUACGAAUAUUAGAAACCGAUAAUUAAAUCAACAACGUAUUAAUUACAAUCACGAUUUAAGGACAUUAACAAACCUGUUGUGAUAGCUGUUAAGCCAGAUAACGUUGCAGUUUUAUGAAGACAAUUACCAACCGUUAUCCAUCUGGAAGUUUCAUCUCCCAAUUUCGAUGGUUCAAUUAUGAUUAAAGUACAUUCGGACUCAAGGGCUCUUUCUAACUCGUACUCAAAAGUUUCAUGAGCAUUUUCACUGUCAUAUACUUCUCUAAUAAUUGCAACUUUUGAGUUAUCAUCCCUGUAAUGACGAAAGUGUUAUAAUAUGAUGGAACGAUACUUGAACGUUAUUUCCUCCUCAUUUGUGCCUCGAUAUAAGUAAAAAUUGAAUGAAAAGCGUAUGAGAAUAGAUUGGAAAGACGUAAAAGACGAUCCAUUUGUCAUGGAUCAAAAGACAUUAAAUCAAACAGCAAAUAAAAUUCUUUUGCAACAUAAUUGCACAUAUAAAAGCAAUAUAAUUUUAAACUUUUGAUAUGUAAUUUAUAAAAGGACUCAUUAAAACUUGAUAUCUCAUAUGUUACAUUUUAA